ACGAAGCAAUGCCGCUGUGAAGGAUGAAGGCCUGCGGUUUGUAAACUUCUGUUUAUUAGAGAAGAUUAUGACGGUAUCGUAAUGAAUAAGCAUCGGCUAAAUAUGUGCCAGCAGUCCGCGGUAAUACAUAUGAUGCAAGCGUUAUCCGGAAUGAUUGGGCGUAAAGCGUCUGUAGGUGGUUUAAAAUAGUCAAUUGUCAUAAGACUAAGGCUUAACCUUAGAUAGGCAGUUGAAACUUUUAGUACUAGAGUAUGGCAGAGGUAUGAGGGAAUUACUGGUGUAACGGUGACAAUGUGCAGAUAUCAGUAAGAACACCAAUGGCGAUAAGCACUCUACUGGACCAGUAAUCUGACACUCAGAGUACGAAAGCUAAUGGGAGCGAAUAGGAUUAGAUACCGUAGUAGUCUUAGCUGUAAACGAUGGAAACUAAAUAUUGCGUUUUAUAUGCAGUAUUGUAGCUAACGCGUUAAGUUUCCCGCCUGGGGAGUAUGCUCGCCAAGGGUG
rnacentral:rRNA from 1 species